GGCACAGAUCGUCGGCACACUCGGCAAUGUGCGGAAACAGAUCGCUGAUCCACAGGCCGGACUGGCCGCGUUGCUUGAACUCCCAUUGCGGCUUCUUGAAAUACUUUUCGACGACGCGAUUAUCCGGAGCAAAUGCCUGCAGCAUCUUCUCGGGAACAAUGAACGACUUGUUGUGAUCGGCGAUCAAUUGGGGCUUGUAGUCGAACGAGUCGACGUGCGAUACGCCGCCGCUCAUGUUGAGGAAGAUCACCCGUUUCGCCCGCGGCGCGAAAUGCGGCGACUUCGGCGCCAACGGAUCAUUCGCCGCCGACGGACUCUCCUCGGCAAGCAAGUUCGAUAGAAUGCCUGGCAGCAGCAAUGACCCGC
rnacentral:misc_RNA from 1 species